AUGUGUAUAUAUAUGUAUAUACUUUAUGCAUAUAUUAUUUGUAAAAUAAUGUGUUCAUUAAAAAAAAAAAAAAAAAAAAAAAAAAAAAAAAAAAAAAAAAAAAAAAAAAAAAAAAAAAAAUUGCGUAUAAAUUUUAAGCUAGGUAUUAUCUUUUUUUUUUUUUUUUUUUUUUUUUUUAAAAUGACAAUAUCUCAGAUAAAAAAGGUUUAUUCUUUUUUUCCGGGCAAACUGCGCACAAAAAAUAGUUUCAAUACAAAUAUAAACCUAGCACGUGGUAGUUUAAAUUAUGAGGAUAGAUUUUUUUUAAGUACGUUACAUAACUUUUUAGAUAUAUUAGAGUGUGAAAAAGAAUAUAAAAAUAAUGUAGAAUAUAAAAGAAUAGAUGAAUUAAGUAAAUAUAUUGAAGUGGUUAAAAUAGAUAAUAAACCUGUGAAUAAUUGUAAGUACUAUAAUUAUAAUUAUGAAAAUGAGAAAAUGCUAUUUGAUGAAAAAGAUGACAUAAAAAACGAUUUUUUUGUAAAAGAAGGGGAAAAAGGGGAAAAAGGGGGAGAAGAGGAAAAAAGGGGAGAAGAGGAAAAAAGGGGAGAAAGUUAUAUAAAAGACUAUGUACACAUCCCACCAUUUGUUUUAACAAAAUUAUGCGAAUAUGCAUUUAAAGAAAUUUUAUUUUUUUUAAACAAAAAACAUUUAAAACAAUUAAGAAAUAUAUUAGAUGAUAAAGAAGCUAGUUCAAAUGAUAAAUACGUUGCUAUGACAUUAAUAAAAAAUGCUAUUAUUAGCUCAGAACAACAUUUACCAGGAUGUCAAGACACAGGUACAGCUAUAAUUUUAGGAAAAAAAGAUGAAAAUAUUAUUACCACGUAUGAUCAUAAAUAUUUAAACUUAGGUGUUUAUAAUGCAUAUAAAAAUAACAAUUUUCGUUAUAGCCAAUUAUCACCUAUAGAUAUGUUUAACGAAGUUAAUACAAAAAAUAAUUUACCAUGUCAAAUUGAGAUUUAUAAUAACAUUAAAAAAGAUGAAUAUAUUAAAAACAGUUAUAAAAAUAAUACAGAAAAUGUUAAUAAUAAUACUAAUCAAAUCGAACAUAGUGAUGGAGAUAUAAAACCACCUCAUAUGGAAGGACCAAAAUAUGAAUUAAUUUUUAUUGCUAAAGGAGGUGGAAGUGCCAAUAAAACAUUUUUACUACAACAAACAAAAAGUAUAUUAAAUAAAGAUGUAUUAUAUGAUUUUUUACUUGAUAAAAUUAAAGAAAUAGGUACUUCAGCAUGUCCUCCUUAUCAUCUUGCUAUAGUUAUCGGUGGAUUGUCAGCUGAAAUGAAUUUGAAAACUGUUAAAUUAGCAUCUUGUAGAUAUUUAGACAAUUUAAAAACGAAUGGGAAUAUAUAUGGUCAAGGAUUUCGUGAUAUAGUAAGUGAAAAAAUAUUAUUGGAAAAAGCACAAAGUCUAGGUAUAGGAGCGCAAUUUGGAGGAAAAUAUUUUGUGCAUGACGUUCGUGUAAUACGGUUACCAAGACACUCUGCUUCAUGUCCUAUAGGUAUAGGUGUAUCAUGUUCAGCUGAUAGACAAAUAAAAUGUAUAAUUAAUAAAAAUGGUGUUUUUAUGGAACAAUUAGAACAUAAUCCAAUACAAUUUUUACCAGAAAUAACUUUAAAUGAUUUACCAAACAAAGAUGAAGGAAUUAAAAUUAAUUUAAAUGAUGGUAUGAGUAAUAUAAUAAAAAAAAUAUCAAAUUACCCAGUUUCGACAUUAUUAUUAUUAACAGGUAGAUUAGUAGUAGCUAGAGAUACUGCUCAUAAAAAAAUUGUUGAUAAUUUUGUUAAUAAAAAGAUACCUAUACCAGAAUAUUUAAAAAAAUAUCCUAUUUAUUAUGCUGGUCCAGCUAAAACACCAAACAAUUAUGUUAGUGGAUCUUUUGGACCAACUACAGCUGGUCGUAUGGAUGCAUACAUUGAAGUUUUAAUGAAAAAUAAUGCAUCGCUAAUAUCUUUAGCUAAAGGAAAUAGAUCUUCUGUUGUAAGAAAUGCUUGUAAAAAAUAUAAAGGUUUUUAUUUAGGUAGUAUAGGUGGACCUGGAGCUAUAUUAGCAAAACAAAACAUAAAAAGUGUAAAUGUAAUUGACUUUCAUGAUCUAGGUAUGGAAGCAGUACAUUUAAUAGAUGUUGAAGACUUUCCUGCUUUUAUUGUUAUUGAUGAUAAAGGAAAUGAUUUUUACAACAAAUGGAUACCAUAAGAAGUUUUGAAUGAA
ensembl:lncRNA